CACGUAGGGGCCAAGCGUUGUCCGGAUUUAUUGGGCGUAAAGAGCUCGUAGGCGGUUGGGUAAGUCGGGUGUGAAAACUCUGGGCUCAACUCAGAGACGCCACCCGAUACUGCUCUGACUUGAGUCCGGUAGGGGAGUGGGGAAUUCCUGGUGUAGCGGUGAAAUGCGCAGAUAUCAGGAGGAACACCAAUGGCGAAGGCAGCUCGCUGGGACGUGACUGACGCUGAGACGCGAAAGCGUGGGGAGCAAACAGG
rnacentral:rRNA from 1 species